rnacentral:rRNA from 1 species
UACGUAGGGGGCGAGCGUUAUCCGGAUUUACUGGGCGUAAAGCGCGUUAAGGCGGUUGGCAAAGUUGGUUGUGAAAUCUCUGGGCUCAACCCAGAAAUUGCGACCAAUACUGGUCGACUAGAGUGCAAGAGAGGAAGGUGGAAUUCCCGGUGUAGUAGUGAAAUGCGUAGAUAUCGGGAGGAACACCUGUGGCGAAAGCGGCUCACUGGACCACAACUGACGCUGAGGAGCGAAAGCGUGGGGAGCGAACGAG